rnacentral:rRNA from 1 species
AUUGAACGCUAGCGGGAUGCUUUACACAUGCAAGUCGAACGGCAGCGCGGACUUCGGUCUGGCGGCGAGUGGCGAACGGGUGAGUAAUGUAUCGGAACGUGCCCAGUAGCGGGGGAUAACUACGCGAAAGCGUAGCUAAUACCGCAUACGCCCUACGGGGGAAAGCAGGGGAUCGUAAGACCUUGCACUAUUGGAGCGGCCGAUAUCGGAUUAGCUAGUUGGUGAGGUAACGGCUCACCAAGGCGACGAUCCGUAGCUGGUUUGAGAGGACGACCAGCCACACUGGGACUGAGACACGGCCCAGACUCCUACGGGAGGCAGCAGUGGGGAAUUUUGGACAAUGGGGGCAACCCUGGUCCAGCCAUCCCGCGUGUGCGAUGAAGGCCUUCGGGUUGUAAAGCACUUUUGGCAGGAAAGAAACGUCGCGGGCUAAUACCCCGUGGAACUGACGGUACCUGCAGAAUAAGCACCGGCUAACUACGUG